UGAAGGAAGCGAAAUUGCUUCUAGCCCUGAUGUUGUUCUCCCCACAACAAGUCGAGAGCUUUCCUCACAUCCAGCGAGAGAACCAAGUGCCACACCAAACGGCAUAAGGCCUACUAACCCCACUCCUGCGCUUGCUACUGGUAAGGACACCCCCACCACUGUCCGUCCAACUAAUCCUACCCCUUCACGACUACACGACAGGCCUUAACGACUGCUAAUCCUCGUCCCAGUAAUCCAACACCUCUCCAGGCCUCUGAGCCUCUUUUCCAAGAUUCCUCUCUCCAGGGGGACUCCCCACAGUGGAGAGUCCCCCUCGUCACAAGAGGAGAGAUUGGAAGGCCUCACCGAACUAGAGGACCCAGAUGGCUAUGAAAACGGUCUAAUUGUUUCAGCUGAAAUGCCGCACGUCGGUCCCGGAAGUUUGUAACUCGAUGUUACCGGAGAAACUAAGAAAGAUAAAGUUAAACUUCCCAGCUGUAUAAAGAGUUCUAAACCUGGAGCUCUUCCCAACAGCCAGAUCUAUAAAAUCGAGGACCCCGUGCGUCGUGGUGUACACACAGUGUGUGACUGGUG